GAGCCAAACCCCGAAAAUUCGAUCAUAUUGCCUCCCUCUGCAGGUGGCUUUCCACUCGAGGACAAUUUUGGAAAAUGAUUGAGAUGGGCAGUGCGAGGGAGGGUUGUAGUUAGCAAAGACCGGAGGUUUGCCGUAUGUGUACCCGAAGUCGUGCUGGAGAACGUGCUGGGUGCAGGGCUUGGUUUUGGGGAGUUCUAUGGGUUUGGUUACUUCGAAGAAGAGAGUUGGUGCGGCGUCGUUUCGAAGGGUGGGCUGGGAGAGGAGCUCGGAUCGGAGGAGGUUGAGUUUGUGGACAUUGGCGGCAGAAAAGAGUGGUUGGUGAAGGAGGAGCGGGAGGAGGAGGAGGAGGAGGAGGGCCAACGGAGAGCCCAUGAGUGACUGGCUGGUGGUCUAGCUGUCUGUUGCUUCGGUGGGUUUUACUUUGUUUUGGCGCUAUUAUUUAUUUAUUUAUAUUUCUUUGUUUUUGUUUCUGUUAUAAGUUUCUUGGAGUUGCGGCUUGAAUUUCAUUGUAUUACAUAAUAAACAAUAUAUACAAGAUACAAUCCUUGUUUUAAAAGGAAACAAUAAAGGGCAUACACAUAUCCUUUAUAAUAAAGGAUUUUAAUAUUUACAAUAUAUUUACAUGCCUUUUUUAAUACCACUCACGACAACACUCUCCCUCAAGUUAGAGCAUAGAUAUCACAUAUGCUCAACUUGACAAGUGAGUCACCAAAAGAUCUACUCGACACGGCAUGAGUGAGGAUAUCAGCAAGCUGCUCUUCUAAGUUCACAAACAAUAUUGAAACAAUUUUCUUCUCCAGCUUCUCCUUAAUAAAAUGACGAUCAACCUCCACAUGCUUUGUUCUAUCAUGUUAUACCGGGUUCUUUGCAAUCUCCCGUGCAAAUUUAUUAUCACAAUACAAACUUGUCGCCUCUUUUGCUUUGAAACCUAGACCACCAAGUAACUUACAUAACCAAAGGACUUCUCAUAUUCCAUGUGUCAUACCUCUGAAUUCGGCAUCAGCUGACGAUCUUGAUACCACAUUUUGCUUCUUACUCCUCCAAUUAACUAGAUUUCCAACAACAAAUGUAAAGUACCCAGAAGUAGAGCGUCUAUCAGUUACAUCACAUGCCCAAUUAGCAUCAGUAAAUCCUUCAAUCCUCAGAUGGCCGGAAUUUUUAUACAAAAUUCCUUUUCCUGGAGCCGACUUCAAAUAAGCUAAAAUCCGCAUAACAUCUGCCAUAUGAUCCACACUUGGCAAGUGCAUAAACUAACUCACCACACUUACUGCAUAGGCUAUAUCCGGACGAGUAUGAGCUAAGUAAAUUAGUCUUCCUACCAGUCUCUGAUAUCUGCAUUUAUCCACUGGUCCUUGAUCCAGAUAAAUUCCCAAGUAAUGUUUCUCCACAAUGGGAGUAUCCACGGGUUUACACCCAAGCAUCCCUGUUUCCUUCAAUAAAUCCAGAACAUAUUUAUGUUGAGACAAGAAAAUACCUUUGGACGAAUGAGCAACUUCCACACCAAGGAAAUACUUCAAAUCACCUAAACUCUUCAUCCCAAACUCGGCAGAAAGGUUCUUCUCCAGUUUGACAAUUUCAUCUGAAUCAUCACCUGUUAUUAUCAUAUCAUCUACAUAAAUAAUCAAAACUAUUACUUUACCGUUUCUCUGCUUCACAAAUAAAGUAUGAUCAGAAUGACUUUGAUAAUACCCAUUCUUUCUCAUAGCCUGAGUGAACCUCCCAAACCAUGCACGUGGUGACUGCUUAAGCCCAUAAAGAGACUUCUGCAAUCGGCACACUUCCAUUUUUCCGCCGUUGCUAUACCCUGGAGGGAAGUCCAUAUACACUUCUUCCUCCAGAUGUCUGUGAAGAAAUGCAUUUUUUACAUCAAACUGUUUCAGUGGCCAAUUCAAAUUUGCAACUAGUGAAAUAAGAAAUCGUACCGUAUUCAUCUUAGCCACGGGAAAGAAAGUUUCAUGGUAAUCAACUCCGUACGUUUAAGUAUACCUUUUCGCCACCAACCUUGCUUUAUACCUGUUAAGCGAUCCAUCAGCCUUGUAUUUCAUAGUAAAGAUCCAUCGGCACCCAAUUGGUUUUUUUCCCUUUGGCAUCUUAACUAUUUCCCAAGUAUUAUUUUUCUGUAAUGCCUUCAUCUCUUCAUCAAUUGCUUUGGUCCAUUCUGGACUCUUCAAAAUGUCUUUUACCUGAGUUGGUACCUGAAUUGAACUUAAUUGAAUCCAUAUUAUUCACCCACGCUUGACGUUCGGAUGACAGACUUUCACAUGACACAUAAUUGGCUAUGAGAUACUUCACUUUUCCUUCUGGAGAGAACCUGUCAGGAGGUACACCAUGAUUUUACCUUGGUGGCAAUUUAUAUGUACUUAUAAUAUCAUUAGUUAUAUGAGUAUCACUAGUGCUUACCUUAGGGAUAUCUAGAGAAGAUGCAUUGGACGACGACACUGUUGACCUAGAGAGAGGGGGGAAGCUUCGGCAAUAGUUGGCUGGUCACCAGUGCACUCCCAUUCGGCAGCAUCAAUACAUAGACUAUCAGUCUCUUCGUCGGUGGGAAGCUAUGGGAUACUUGGAGCAAGUUCGGUAGGACCCUGCUAUCUACUCACAACAGCAGGCUCGGCAGGAGGAGACCGAGCAUCAUCACUUACAUCACUCGACACAUCGUGCACUCCCCCUGAAGAUGUUUCCUUUUGUACAUCUAACCAUUCGAGAACACCAUCAAGAUCACAACUACCCUUGUGAUCGAAAUGUGGUGAUAUGGGAGUAUAAAAAUAUUCAGACUCAGAAAAGGUCACAUCCAUGGUGAUAUACACGUGACGAGUGGCAGGGUGGUAAAACUUAUAACCUUGGUGGUGGGAUGCAAAACCCACAAAGACACACAAAAGAGCACAAGAUCCAAUUUACUAUGAUGAAUCUUGUGAAUAUGAACAUAAGCUAUGCAUCCAAACACUCGAGGAGUGAGUGUAUUGGUAGAAACAACCGGAACAUGCUUCAUCAACACUUGGAGUGGAGUAUGAAAUUCGACAACCCGGGAUGACAUGCGAUUGAUAACAUACACGGCAUAGGUGAUGGCGUCCGGCCAAAAACUCUUGGGAACUGACCCACCAAUAAGCAGUGCACGAGCAGUUUCCAAAAUAUGAUGGUUUUCCUUUCAGUAACCCCAUUUUGUUGUGGGGUGUACAAGCAAAUUGUCUCAUGGAAAAUUCCUUGAUCACGGAAAAAAUUGGAAAACUCAGAGUUAACAUAUUUUCCCCCAUUAUUAGUACGAAGAACUUUAAUAACGGAGGAAUAUUGAACAGCCACCAUUUGAGAGAAAGACCAAAUAAUUGCACUUACAUCACUUUUAUGUUUCAACAAAUACACCCAUGUUAUACGAGUGCAAUCAUCAACAAACGUAACAAACCACUUAACUCUUGAAACUGUAUUAAUGGGUGAAGGCCCCCAAACAUCUGAAUGCACAAGCUCAAACGGAAGCAAUCUUUUAUUCAAACUAGAAGGAAACGAAGCACGAUCGCUCUUAGUAAGAAUACAUACUUCACAAUGUAAGUCUGAUUCCUUUAUUUCAUGAAACAUACUAGGCAACAUAUGCCUUAAAUAACCAAAAGAAACAUGUCCUAACCGAUGAUGUACCAACCAAACUUCUUGCAGAAUACUAGUACGGGAUGCUCGAACAGCAUUAGCUCUGCCAGGAAUGACGUCAUCCACAUAGUACAACCCAUCUCUCUUAGUGCCACACUCAAUUAUCUCCUUGGUCUGAAUAUCUUGAAGCAAACAAAAAAAUGGAUACAUAAGUACAACACAAUCCAAUUGCUCAGUAACUUGGGGAAUAGAUAAUAAAUGGUGAGACAAUGACGAAACAAGCAAACGGUGGUGGAGAGAAAGAAAUGGCGUGAGGUCCACUGUGCCAGCUCCAGUCACCAUGGCAGUGGUGCCAUUUGUCGUGGAAAUACACUUUUGACGUGUCAUUGUCAUAUACUUAAAUAACCUUUUAUCAAACGUCAUAUGAUUAGUUAUUCCAGAAUCCAAAAUCCAAUCUGUAUGUUGUUCAGUACCAGAGGCUAAAAGAACACGCCCAUCAGUACCUGUAUUGGAUGAAGACUCAUUGGGAUUGAGUCGGGUCAACAAAGCUUGACUUGGAUCCCCCUGAAUAGACACGACAUCUUUGUUUCCAGUUGUUGCGGUAGCCAUAGGUGGAAGCCUUUCACUAGCUCCGAUAGAAGCACGCUCUUUAGCAUGCAACUUCUUCUUCAAUUCCGGAAACCAUUCAAGUACUCCAUGUUUCUGAAAACACAUAUCUUCCGUAUGACGAGUUUGCCCAUAAAAGUACACUUCAAAUUAUCCUUAUUCUCUCGAGUGAAAGGGCGAGAAUCGAGUGAUGAAGAUGGACCAUAGGGCCAGCCAGAAGAAGGAGGCCAUGACAUCAUAGCCACCGGUAGGGUUCCUCGUUGGUUCCCAACAGCACUACCUCCCAUCAUAGUAGCAUGGCGUUGAGCUUCCCGCCUAACUACUGAAAACACUUCCUCCAUAGAUGGUAGAGGCUGAGUUCUCAGAAUAUCACUACGGACCUUGUCAAACACAUCAUCGAGGCCCACUAAAAAAACAUACACACGGUCUAGUUGAACUUCUUCCCGAAGUGUCUUCAAGUCAAGAGCACACUCCAUCUUGAUUGAUGGAUGUGAAGUUUCUUAAAGUUCAAGAAAAGGUUAGGGAGGGAACUAUUCAAGUGGAACAUUUAAGUACUAAUGCAAUGAUAGCAUAUCCUUUGACCAAGGCAUUGCCAAUUGGGAUUUUUAAAGCUCAUGUUUCUCGGAUGGGGGUUCUUGAAACUUUUGAUCAGUGGGAGUGAUCUAGUGUUGCAUAUUGGCUGUUGGUUGCUGCUGUGAAGUUCAAAUAGUUGGUGCAGUGAUACAAAUAGGUUUAUGUUUUUAAUAAAGCUUUAAGCUAGUAUUUGAUUAGCUAGUUUUGUUUUGGUUUAUUUUAUUCUCGAUUUGAGACUUGUUUUAGUGGUCUGUUGUUUUUGAGAAAUAAAAUUUGAGAUAGUUCAUUUGAUGCUUUUAUGACAGUCUGCCUAUUUAUGCAGUUUCCAUUGAAUUAUUGAUUCAUGCAUUGUUUGGGGCAAUUAUUUAUCUUAAAUUCUUGCUGUCAAUGAUGUGAAAUAGUGGGAGCAAAUUACUUUGCUCAUUUGCUGAUAUUGAUCUGGUUCACAAUGUUAAAGAUACAAAUUGAAUGUAUGUAACUCUUCAAAACUGAUGUGCAUUAUGGUUGCAAUAAAGUUACAGAGUUCUACAUUUUGAGAUGUAUGUAAAAUGGUUGUGAUUGGGGAUUUUUGUUAUCAGACUUAGUGAUCUUGAAUAAGCUAAGCAUUUGAAACUGUUCUCAUACUUAAGUGGGAGAAUGUAAGAAUAUGAGUAUGAGAUAGAGAACUUUUGGAUCGGCUAUAGGUGUUCAGUUUGAUAGAAAAGUCUUGUUGACAAAAGAAAUGCUAAUCCUUGGCAAAGAAGGAUCUUGUAUAGUAUUGAGAUCAGUUCUUGUAUAACAAGGAAAUAAGUAUUUGUUUCCUAUAUGGAUUUUAAUAAGGAAUCCUAAUCUGUCAAGGUAAAGAUUAUAUGUAUAUAUAUAGUGACCUCUCUUCUCACAGAACAAUGCUUAUAUUGGACUUAAUCCUAUUUGAAAUGCGAGUUCUAGAUAAUCUGCAAUUCACUGCAAGCUUGGUGCUAUGGCUUCGGGUUUUGGAGUUGUUGCAGGUAUGCUUUUCUUCUUAGUUCUCUUAUACAUGAAAGAUUGGUUGGAGCUUUUAGAUUGUGAUUCAUGUUUUGGUCUUGGAUAAUAAUUCACUGCGUACAGAUUGGUCUUCUCUAAUCAAGUUCUUGCCAGACAACUUUAAGAUCAGCAUAGUAUACACCAAUAGGGCGCCUUUCUUGGCGAAGUCGAAAUGACUUCACUUUCAAUUCAUAAAUCUAAAAGAUAUCAGAUCCAUCAUAAUACGUCAUGGCAACUUCUUCCCAUACUUCUUUAGCAGUACAAAGAUGAAUGAAAAAACCCAUGAUAGUAGGAUCCAUGGAGUUAAUCAACCAUCUUUUCACAAUUGCAUUCACAGUCUCCCAAGCAUCAUAUUCGACACUGUCUUCAUUGGGCUCCUUAAUACUCUAUGUCACAAACCCUUUUUUUUCCAUGCCCAGCAAUAUGCAUUUCUAAUACUUUGGACCAAAGAGGGUAAUUUGAUCCAUUGAGUUUUACAGUAUUUGGUACGCUUGAAGCAUCAUUUUGAAUAACCACAGGAUUGACAACUGACUGCUGGGUUAAGCCAGAUGCCCUAUCAUCCAAUUUCAGCACAGCCUCUCCUUUGUCACUUGCCAUUAAUCACAAUACACACCACACACAUGGUACGCAGCAGAAAACGCACGGUUUUGCUGCAGGAAUGCAACGACAAACCCUGAAAUCUGAUGUGGUCCUUGUCUCCGACAACAGCAACACGGCAGCCUGGACUUGCUGCAGAAACGCAGCAGAGAUCAUAGAUGUGUGAUGGGUUUUCUUUCUUUUACUGUAGCAGCGACACAGUGGGAAUGUUUUAGGGUUAUGCUUGGCUCUGAUGCCAAAUUGAAUUUACAGCUUGAAUUUCAUUGUAUUGCAUAAUAAAAAAUAUAUACAAGAUACAAUCCUUGUUAUAAAAGGAAACAAUAAAGGGCACACACAUAUCCUUCAUAAUAAAGGAUUUUAAUAUUUACAAUAUAUUUACAUACCUUUUUUAAUACCACUCAUUUGACACUGUCUUCAUUGGGCUCCUUAAUACUCCCUGUCACGAACCCUUUUUUUUUCCAUGCCCAACAAUAUGCAUCUCUAAUACUUUGGACCAAAGAGAGUAAUUGAUCCGUUGAGUUUUACAGUAUUUGGUAUGUUUGAAGCAUCACUUUGAAUAACCACAGGAUUGACAACUGACCCCUGGGUAAAGUCAGAUGCCCUACCCUUCAAUUUCACCCCAGCCUCUCCUUUGUCACUUUCCAUUAAUCACAAUACACACCACACACAUGGUACGCAGUAGAAAACACACGGUUUUGCUGCAGGGAUGCAGCGACAAACCCUAAAAUCUGAUGUGGUCCUUGUCUCCUACAAUAACAACAAGGCAGCCUGGACUUGCUGCAGAAACGCAGCAGAGAUCAUAGACGUGUGAUGGGUCUUCUUUCUUUUACUGUAGCAGCGGCACAGUGGGAAUUUUUUAGGGUUAUGCUUGGCUCUGAUGCCAAAUUGAAUUUACAACUUGAAUUUAAUUGUAUUGCAUAAUAGACAAUAUAUACAAGAUACAAUCCUUGUUCUAAAAGGAAACAAUAAAGGACACACACAUAUCCUUCAUAAUAAAUGAUUUUAAUAUUUACAAUAUAUUUACAUGCCUUUUUUAAUACCACUCACGGCAACAAAAAACAAUGGUGAGUUUUUCUUGUUGGUGAAGAAAAUAAUCAAGGUAGUCGUUUUUAUUUGAAGAAUUAAAUUAAAAUUUCAUUUGCAGAAUAUUUUUUUGAAUUAGUAAAUAGUAAGAACUUGAUUUAAUAUUACCAAAUUUCUAAUUGCAAUGAUAAUUACAUUAAUCAAUUGUGAUAAUAAAGUGAUAAAAGGCGUAGGGAAAUUUAGUAGAAGAUCUAUUAUAUUACCAAAUUUAGUCCAAAGAAAAAAUACAGUAAUUUUGUAUUUUCCACAAAUAGCAAUUGGAAUGUCUUGGAAAACAUUGUCUCAUAUAUUUGGAGGAAGUGAAAUGUCCAAUUUCAAGUGAAUCCAUGCGUUCUGAUUUUUAAAUUCUUAUUUCCCUUACAUUUUUGUAAUUGUUUCCAACCCUUCCUAUUCCCUUAAUAAUAAUUUUUUUUAUUUAAAAACAAGUAAAACUAGAAGAAUUCAAUGGUAAAUUUAAUAGCAAAAGAAGAAGUUUACCCUCUUGGCGCUCGUUAAUUCUAUUAUGCUCCAGUGUGGAAUUAUGACUAAGCUUACAAUUAUCAAGGAUUUAGGGGACAAAUAACUUGGUUCGUGCUUAUAUAUUGUAUUGCUCUUUCUCUCUUCUUUGUGUCGCUUAUAUAUUGUAUAAGUAAUGUUACACUUAUCAUAUAUUUGUACUAUCAAUUGUACUAUCUUUUUAAUAGAGGUAGGGUCCAUCAAAACAUGUGAGUCUCAUCUUUAGGGAUGAGUUCGGUUUCAUUUAGUUUGAUUUUUUGCCAAAACCAAAAUCGAACCAAAACUUUGAUUCGGUUCAGUUCGGUUCAAUAUUCUUUUGGUUUUUUUUCAGUUCGAUUUUUUUUCAGUUUGAUUUUGUUCUGUUUGGUUUCGGUACGGUUUCAAUUUUAUUUAUUUAUUUUAUAAAUCUUGAUCUUUUUUUAAUAUGGAAUUUAGAAAAAAAAAAGGCUUGCAUUGGUAGACUAAUAAUAAGAAAUAUGGGAAAAGUGGAAAGUAGGAAGGUAGUUGUAUAUAUACAAGAUCAUAUAAACCAAUCAUAUUCUAUCAACAAUCUCAAGUGCAAAGAAAAAUGAUCACUGUAUCCAUUCAAAAAGCAAACAAAUAGAGACGCUCUUCCAAGUUCCAAAACCUUCCAAAACUUUCCUCUAUAACCAAUGAAUAUCCUCCCUAAUUGAACCAAGUAUGCUCCUUGAAAAAGCCCUAGGUUAGUUUCAAACUUGGCAACAAAGUUUCACAAAAGAAACAUCAUGGGCAUACAUUCAUAAAAUGUAAAGAGAUUCGGUUAGAUUUUUUUUCGGUUUUCGAUUUUUCAGUUUCGGUUCAGUGUUUGGUCCAGUUUUUUUUCUUCAGUUUUUGGUUUUUUGAACCCACUCAUAACCACUCCUUGUUCAAAAGUUGAAUGUUAAGUCGAAUGUUGAAGUCACAUAUUGAACAAGGAGUGGUUUUUUUGGUUUUUUUCGGUUUUCAAUUUUUCAGUUUCAAUUCUGUGUACAAGACCUUCGUAACCACAACACUUGUCUUGUUGCCCGGGUACAUUUGCAUAUUUUUUUCCCACCGCACCUCCUUGUUCAAAAGUCGAAUGUUAAGUGUUGUGGUUAUGAAGGUCUUGUACACAGGUUUAUAUAUACAUAUGAAAGAAAUGGAAUGUGAAAUUGAUAAAUGAUCUCUCUUAACGACGAUCUAUGAAGACUAUGCCGCAUGUAUUGAUCAGAUCAAGACAUGAUAUACAUCAACAAAGUCAACACCAAUCAUAUUGCGCCUCAUCAUAUUAGCAAAGUCAAGCAAAUUGAUCCCUAGACAACAUUGUCGACCUCUUCACAAAGUCACUGCCGAAGUCUAUGAUAGGAGUAUAUUUAUGCGACUUAGUGAGCUUGUUCUUGUGCAUUUACAUUGUGUUUUCUUAGUUAAAUUAGUCUUUUAAGCUAGUUUCAUGUGUUUUCAGGUUUUAAGGGCAAAGUAUGCAAAAUGAUGCAUUUUAGAGCCUUUUGGAGCAAGAUUGAGCUUGGGAUGGAUAUCACGUGCUUGGGAUGGAUAGGAAUGGACGAGAAUGAAGGGGUCCUAAUUGAAGAAGGAUUCCUAAUCAACGAAUGAGUCCUAAUUGAAGAAGGAUUCCUAAUCAUCGGAGGAGUCCUAGUUAAGGAUGGAUUCCUAGUCAAAGAUGGAUUCCUAGAAGAAUGAGGAUUCCUACUCAAACAAGGUUUCCUACUUGAAGUAGGAAAGUUAAGCCUAAAGUUUCCUAUUUUGGGUUGAUCUUUCCUAAACCUAAAUGGCCUUAAGUUUCAGCAACAUUGAAGAUUUCCUAAGCAUUUUUGGACACAAAGAAGGUUCUAGAACAAUUUCCCAUAGGUGCCGCACCAAUUCAGCAAGGGAACCUAUUUCCUUGCCUUGCAAGGCUUUCUAGAAGCCUUAUCCUUCCCUCCCUCCAGCCGCACCUCUUGGCCUUUUCCCUUGAGGAUUCUGAUUUUCUAAGCCUUUUUCCUGGUGGAUUUGGUUUCUAGAAGCCCUAAUUUGAUUGCCCUAGGGUUUAGGUGCCUAUAAAUAUGUAUUUUACACCCCUUGUCACACCUACCACCCCUCAUACACAUAAAUUCACGCCAGAAACACUCCCAUUUCUCUACUGCAGCCUUCCAUUACCAUUAUCCAUAAUUCCUGCCAAAAACCAACCCUUGCCGCACCACCAAUCCAUCCUAAACACCACCAUACUACCCCCAUCCAUUCUACACCAUUCAUAACCCCAAGAAUCUGUCCCUAAGUCUUGUGCCGCAGCAAGGAGGAAGGAGGACAGUCCAUAGGCGUGCUUGCUGUUCAAGAGUGGAUCGUUGGAGCGUCUAGGUGUUCUCUUUCUUUUGUUCUCAAUGUCUAACUUUGUUUAUCUUUGUUUCGUGAGUAUGAGAACUUAAACCCCCUUGGCUAGGGGGGAUUCGAAACCAUGUUUUAUGCUUGCUAUAUGAUUUGAUUACUUUCAAUUGCGUUUCAUAAGUUGUGAAUUCAAUUUGCUUAUCUAUAUGAAUUAAAACUGAUUUGUGUGUGUUGGUUAAGAGUGCAUGCUUAAUUUUCAUGCAUAAAUCUAAUGCUAGGAUAUAAGGGAGUUUCACCUAAUCGUUAUGAAUUUAUAUUCGCAAGUAGUAAAGGUUGUUGAUCACAAUCGUGUUAAGUAAAUUCUUGGCAUAAGUUUCAUGCAAUUCAUAGUAACAAGUGUCUCGUCAAUGCUUAUGGUUUUCGUAGAACUUAAUGAUUCUUGCUUGUAUCUCUAUUAUGCAAUUCAUGUAGGAAACUUGUGGGGAAUGCUUUGGGUUGUUGUAUGCAAUCAUCCAAUUCAAUAACUUUAGGAAAAUCUGGGGAAUUGAGAAUUCAUAAUCUAUUGAAAAGCAAUUGGAAAUCGUUUUGUAUGCAAGUGUGACAUGUGUGGAGAAGAACCCCUUAGCUAGCUUUCAAUCCAUUCACUUUAAUCAAAUUCGUUUUAAAAUCUGUUUAGUUUACAAAGUUUUUGUUUUGUUUUUAAUUUCGUCAAAAUCAAAUCCCCCUUUAUUUUGAAGUGUUAGAUUAGUUAGAAAUCAAUUUAGUUUGUAUUUUUAAGUGUCUUGAGUCAAAUUAUAACCUAUUUUCGUCCAAAUUUGUGCUUGGUGUUCAAAACUGCCCAGAUUGUGUUUUUAAGGCAGUUUUGAGUGUUUCUGUGCUAUUUUGAGUUUUUUUUUGUUUGUUUUAGUGUUUUAGAGUUUAGUUUUGCAUUCUUUGAGUCUAGUUUAGUGUUUUAAACUUUGUUUUUACGUUUUUGAGUCAGUUUUCAAGUGAUUUAGCAAUCCCUCCUAAUCCCCGGCCUUGAACGAUCCCUACUUACAUACUUUGCUACAAUUGAUAAAAAGAGGGUUUAAUUUGUGUGCUUAUAUAUUUCGCAUCAGUCUACCUUCCACAUGCUUGUUCGAGAAAUUGGUAUGCUUCGACCAUUUCGAUGUGCCAGAAGUAGCAAAAUACUGCAACCUACGUACAGAUUUGGUUUGUCAAAACCUCUACUGCAAAAUACUGCAACCUACAUACACAUUUGGUUUGUCAAUAACCUCUACUUAUGAUCCUUUCUAGGUCUUCUUGUGAAUAACAGUCUUUGAAUCCGAGUUUAUGUAAUGGAAGGAUGAUAUCAUUUAUCGAACGAAUUUGACAAUGUAGAAUUUUUAUUAAAUUUUUUAUCAAGCCUUUAGAAGCUCAAUCGGUAUAGAUACCUUAACUAGAUUCUAGAAGAUGAACGUCGAUUAUACUGAGAUAACACAGGUUGACACGAUCCAGUUUUCAGAAAUCAAUCAACUCCAAGUAAAACCAAAACCAUUUUAAUGCACAUACCUUAACUAGAUUCUAGAAGAAUAUCCACAAAAAUAAAAUUGAGUAGAAAAUACUUACAUUUUUAUUUGAGGUACCAACAAACACGAACCCUCCUUAAAAUUUACCAAGGGAGUCCUUUUCUGUAGCACAUGAAGAUGCGUCGAUAUGAAUAAGCUAGGCACCUUCAUUGUUCUCAGGUAAAUCGGGGACCAGGAAAGUUCCUUUGAGCACCAAAAGGCCACAGUCUGCUUAAGCCAGAAUCCAAAUUAGACUCCGAUUUUUUGGUGCACGUAAGCCUCACCUUAUCGUAGAGUAUGGUGUAGUUUGAGCUGCUUAUGUUUCUGAAGUAACAGGACUUCCCACCAUCGUAUCUAUACACUUGCUGUGUACUCCCCAAUCCACUAACUACCAAAUUGUUUUUUACAACCAUAUAACCUUCGCCAUUCUGCAGAUUUCUGAGAGAGCUGUUCGAGAAUUGUGAACCAGCACUUGCAGACUUCUUCUCAAUAAAUCCCAGUUCAACAUUUGUACCCAACUUAUAUGUUUCAUUUGCUUGUUCCAAGUAGUCAGUGUACAAGUAAAGAGGAAAUGUUUUGUUUGAUGACAGUGAGUGAAUACUGGAGGAUGGCAGCGUGAUAUGAACUGUAUCGUUGAAAUGGAUAAUCUGAUUUACUAUCUGUGUAUCCCCACCAUUCUUCAUGACCAUUGUAUUACUGUAAUGGAAGUCUUGAAUCGCAUCAGUUGUGAUAUUCCCAUAGGAGGACUUCACCCAUCCAGUCGAUGACACAGACCUGCCGACCCUUGUCAAAAAUGUGCCAUUUAAACCCUUGAAAUCCAAAACCAAUGAAACAACAAGGGGCAAGCUUCUAUGCUUCAAAAGCUCUCCUUCAGUUUUCGUGCUCUGCUUGUCCAACCAAAGAUGCAAAUUCGCGUCAACGAACCAAACGUUCAAGGCAUUUGUUACAUUAAAACCAAACUUGUGGCUCUUCCCGUCCAAUAUCUUCCCUAAAAAGGGUGUGAUUUCAAUAUCAUAAGAAGGGAGAUCGUAUGAACCAAUCGCAGUAAUAGGUCUCCACAGGAGCGGAUUGACCCCUCCAGUGAAAAUCACAGUAAAAGGCCAGACUGCACCAACAACCUCACCAUCUAAACUCACCACAACCUCCCUAAAAGGCCCGUUUCCAGGCGUGCUAAGAUUGUUUGCAACAAUGUACUCAUUCGGAGCAUUUGAAUACCAAGAUUCAUCGUUCUCAUGAAAUGAAACAUACACCUCCAACACAGCCCUAUAAGCAUUCUGCGGAAUCUCAAAUUCCUUCAACUGUGUAUCGGUCGAAUUCUGGAUUUCAAACCACAACCCAUCAUUCAAAGGCAGAUUUCUCGAAAUGGGCAAGAUCAAAUCCGCCCAAGAAUGGUACCCAGAAUUCAAAUUUUCCAAAUUUCCCAACUUAUGCUCAUAAUUAUGAUUCAAAAUCUUCUCAGCAGGGUAAAACAGGAUGCUAAUAUUCAAAUGGUAAAUCCCAGUAUAUGUUUUAUCUAUCAAAUUCCCAAGAUAAACAGCUAGUGUUUGAUCGUUCUGAAGCAAAGAAUAGUACCUUGUGAUGUCCUUCUCGACAAUCCAAACAAUCCCAUUCUGCGUCGGCUCAGCCGUGCAGCUCCUGAGAAGCUCAACGCCUCCGAGCCAAACCCCGAAAAUCCGAUCAAAUUGCCUCCCUUUGCAGGUGGCUUUCCACUCGAGGACAAUUUUGGAAAAUGAUUGAGAUGGGCAGUACGAGGGAGGGGAGUAGUUAGCAAAGACUGGAGCUUUGCCGUAUGUGUAGCCGAAGUCGUGCUGGAGAACGAGCUGGGUGCAGGGCUUGGUUUUGGGGAGUUCUAUGGGUUUGGUUACUUCGAAGAAGAGAGUUGGUGCGGCGUCAUUUUGAGGGGUGGGUUGGGAAAGGAGCUCCGGUCGGAGAAG
rnacentral:lncRNA from 1 species